UCUAAAAAGUUUUAAGUGCCCCUAUACUUUCCCUUCUCUAUACAAUGAACCCAAAAAAAAAAAAAAAAUCCCCAAACUGACUCCGCCACAGACUCCACCGUGAAGCUCGUCGCGGGCCUCAUUUCGCAUCCAUUCCGUCAACUCCAAGCCUGAGACCGAAGACGCCAACGGAGACAACACCAAUUGGGGGAAAGAUCGAGACUGAGAUUGAGAUGGGGACCGAGUACGUGACCGCGACUGGGAGAGUGAUAGGGGUGAGAUCGAGAUUGCGAUAGGAAUAGAGACAGAGAGCGAGAGAGAGACCGUGAGCGUGACUGUUGAGGUUCAGAUUGUGUGAAACAAUCAAGAGUUUUAGGUUCGUCAUAUUCGUCCAAGUGCACCACCAGAUUGGUUCUACUACGAUUGAAGUAAGGACAAGAGAGGGAGAUGUUCUUGCAGUCAAGAAGCGUAAGAAGAUAAUAAGAAGGUUUUGAGAAAAAGGAGAUAAGAGAGCCAGUCAGCCAGAAAUGCUAGGCCACAAGUGUCUGACUAUUUGGAGUUUCCAACAUGGAUCGGUUUGUGAUACUCAGAAUCAUUUCCUCAAAAAAAGAAGCUUCCAGAUUUUGGAGAAGUGGGUUCCAAGCUCUGUGAGAAAGUUUGAAUCAUGCCAAGGACCUCAGAUCAGGAGAACAUUAACAUGAAUGAAGAGUCUGGUAUCCAUCAUUAUAUAGAAGGAUGAUAGUUUAUAAGUAUUUUUUCGAGACUGGGUGAAUAAUGUUUGUUUUAUGAAAUGAUGUGUAUCUUGUGGAUGUUUAUUAUAUAUAAAUUGGAUAUUUUGCAAAUUAAGCAGGUUCCACCAAA